CACACACACCCACCCAAGUGUGUGCGUGUGUGUGUGUACGCACACGUGUGAGAUGUUAUAAUCGUUACUACUAAUGACCGUGAUUCGCUGGCGGCAGAUCGAAAAUUACUUUUGUGCAAAUCCCGGUUUUUUUCGGCCUAUCCGUCAAAUUCAAUGGCCCAACAGCGGUGGCAUUAUGGAUUCAUUUGUUUCUGCCAUAAUGAUGAUUUGGAUUUUCAACCGCGAGCUGUCGGACGCCAUCAAUGGAGGAGUAAUCGUCGCACUGCACUCAUCAUCAUCUUCUUCUUUGGCAGUCCCUCGUCGAUCGAGGAAGACUUCCUCUCACCGUGGUUCUGCGUCUUCCGCGGUGACUGGUGAGCCCAAUGCGAGACGCGCAGACUCGACCGCAGUGGGUUGCGGGAGGUACCGCACAGGCCCCGGGUGGAGUACGGUGAGCAGCCUUUGUGAAUAACCAAGCUGGAGACAAUUGAUGGACCGGCCCUCCGUCGCUGGGGAGACGUGGUGCAGCCUUUAAGAGCAAAUGAUGGAGAUUGCGUCUGAGGCCCAUCGACACGAAACCCCGAACCUCAAUUCACUCUCAAGUGCUGUCCCACCCCCGCUACAUCGACAUCAGACGCACGGAAGAAGAAGAAGAAGCAGACUUGUACAGGCAACAGCGGUACAGGUGCUACUCAUUUUAACCAACAUUGGAGGGACAACCUUUCAACGAGGACUCGAGCACGCCAACUGAUGAAACAAGCCCAACUGGAGUGGGGUAUAGGGGUAAGGACUGAAUAUUUUCAGCAGCCGAUGUAGAUGCUUGGCCUGGAAUUAAAGUUCGUUUUGUUUUUUAAACCAGGUGAAAACUCUAAGAGACCAGCAGAGUAUGUCACGCGUUCCACUCUAGCCUCUCACAUUGUAUGUGCACAUGAGGAUUUGUACCGAUAUUGUCGUGCUGCAAUAUAUCUAAAGAGCAAUGAUCCAGGUCAUCUCCUCUCUGCUUGGGAAUUGUAAUCCGUUAAGACUAAACUAAAUUAUAAACUAAUCUUUGGUUUUUUCGGUAAAGUCACGUAGAAAUAAGAAAAAAUCAAAUUACGUAAGAAAAAAUAA